AAGGUAUUGAUGCUGGUGGGCUUUCAAGGGAAUGGUAUCAGUUACUGUCCAGAGUUAUCUUCGACAAGGGAGCAUUGCUUUUUACGACUGUUGGCAAUGAUUCAACAUUUCAGCCGAACCCCAAUUCUGCUUACCAAACAGAGCAUCUAUCAUAUUUCAAGUUUGUUGGGCGAGUGGUCAGUGCAGAUUUUUUGUUUUAAAUGGAUUAAAUCGAACGACUGGCUUCUAUACAUGUCUAAUUGGUUUCUUUUACCAGGUUGGCAAAGCACUUUAUGAUGGACAGCUCUUGGAUGUUCAUUUCACUCGAUCAUUUUACAAGCAUAUUUUGGGAGCCAAAGUUACCUAUCACGACAUUGAAGCUAUUGAUCCCGAUUACUACAAAAACUUGAAAUGGAUGCUUGAG
rnacentral:lncRNA from 1 species